UUUAAUUGAAGAGUUUGAUCAUGGCUCAGAUUGAACGCUGGCGGCAGGCCUAACACAUGCAAGUCGAGC
rnacentral:rRNA from 10 species